ACGUAGGGGGCAAGCGUUAUCCGGAUUUACUGGGUGUAAAGGGAGCGUAGACGGUAAAGCAAGUCUGAAGUGAAAGCCCGGGGCUCAACCCCGGGACUGCUUUGGAAACUGUUUAACUAGAGUGCUGGAGAGGUAAGUGGAAUUCCUAGUGUAGCGGUGAAAUGCGUAGAUAUUAGGAGGAACACCAGUGGCGAAGGCGGCUUACUGGACAGUAACUGACGUUGAGGCUCGAAAGCGUGGGGAGCAAACAG
rnacentral:rRNA from 1 species